rnacentral:rRNA from 1 species
UACGAAGGGGGCUAGCGUUGCUCGGAAUCACUGAGCGUAAAGGGUGCGUAGGCGGGUCUUUAAGUCAGGGGUGAAAUCCUGGAGCUCAACUCCAGAACUGCCUUUGAUACUGAAGAUCUUGAGUUCGGGAGAGGUGAGUGGAACUGCGAGUGUAGAGGUGAAAUUCGUAGAUAUUCGCAAGAACACCAGUGGCGAAGGCGGCUCACUGGCCCGAUACUGACGCUGAGGCACGAAAGCGUGGGGAGCAAGCAGG